rnacentral:rRNA from 1 species
CGAAGCAACGCGAAGAACCUUACCAGGUCUUGACAUCCUCUGACAAUCCUAGAGAUAGGACGUCCCCUUCGGGGGCAGAGUGACAGGUGGUGCAUGGUUGUCGUCAGCUCGUGUCGUGAGAUGUUGGGUUAAGUCCCGCAACGAGCGCAACCCUUGAUCUUAGUUGCCAGCAUUCAGUUGGGCACUCUAAGGUGACUGCCGGUGACAAACCGGAGGAAGGUGGGGAUGACGUCAAAUCAUCAUGCCCCUUAUGACCUGGGCUACACACGUGCUACAAUGGACAGAACAAAGGGCAGCAAAACCGCGAGGUUAAGCCAAUCCCACAAAUCUGUUCUCAGUUCGGAUCGCAGUCUGCAACUCGACUGCGUGAAGCUGGAAUCGCUAGUAAUCGCGGAUCAGCAUGCCGCGGUGAAUACGUUCCCGGGCCUUGUACACACCGCCCGUCACACCACGAGAGUUUGUAACACCCGAAGUCGGUGAGGUAACCUUUUAGGAGCCAGCCGCCGAAGGUGGGACAGAUGAUUGGGG